GACCAUACUCCUUCGGACUGUGUAAGGACUGCUAUAGACUAUAGACUCGUUUCGACUUGCAGCGCAAGCUUGCGCCUUCUGUGCGGGAUAUCUGGCAGUAGGGAUAGCCCCUAACCAUCAGUUACAUCUAUGUAUUUGGUAUAAUAUCGACUUAUUUCUCAAUUAUUUCGAGGAAUGCAACUUGUAAACGAAGUCUGAUUGAUCAUCAAAUAAAUUACAAUAACAUCACGAUAACAAUGCGGCGUAUGAAGUAAGAUGAACAUUAUAAACUAGAAUACCGAAGCCAACUAAAACGAAGGUCAAGUCUGAAGUUAUAUAAAAAUAGUGCUCGUUUAUCCUGUGUCAAUUGAGGUACAAUGAACUUAACGAUCCAAGCUUCCGCUUUCACAUUACUAUACUGUAACCAAGUAUAAUAUCUUUAUUGCGUUUAUAUACCAUAAUUGAAAUACAAAAUAUUAAAUUGGCGCCAAGUUUCUAUGAAAAAGCAAAAAGUUUGUGCGCAUGCGUAUGAAGGAAAAUCGCUAAGAUGAGCGCGAACCAAACCGAUUUUAGUGAAAUAAAUUAAAAUGAGAGGAACGGUUUACAGUCGAUGGAAAGAGACUACAAUGAAACGUAUUUUGUAGGUUAUUAUUCGUUGUCUAUGGGAGAUAUAAAUCAUAUGAAGGUCAUUGGGUCAAGACCGGUUACCGGCGACGUUAUCACACACCCUAAAUGAACUCUCAAUGAACGUAACCUUCAGGCAAAAUGCAGAAAACUGUGGAAAGAUAAAGGUGCACAUUAAAAGCUUUCUGUACUUACCACCCAUAGUUGGAAAUAAACUUUAUUUCUUUUUUAACAGAUCAAUUCUACACACUUAACACUUGCCAAUGCCCACACAACUGACAAAAAAUUGUACGCACUUCAUCAGCGCUACAAUACGAGUGACGACUCGCAACUCUCCUACCAUUCCACAGCGCUCUCCCCACCUUAUGUAUACUAACUGUUCUGUAUUAUCUACUGAAAGUUUUACAGAUUUAGUAGUACUUACAUGUGGCUUCCACGUGCAGUGACAAAAUUAACACAUAGGACCAUUUAAAUAAAACAGGUAUUCG